GACUCACACCAUGUCCCUCCUCUGCUCAAAACCCUCCAUCUUGCUCAGAGAUCCUUGCCACGAGGCCCUACACCACCUGGCCCCUGUCUGCCCUAAGUAUAGUGAAGCAUUUGCUGGGGUCCAUUUGAAAGUGUCAGAGAUGGUUGACAAUUCUAUACAUGGGUUCAUCAGGAAUAACUGGGCUGUCGGGCACAAUGUGGAGGGACAGUGUUGAAUCAGUUUCAGCUAGGGAUGUAGUAGAAAGAUAUGGAUUGUGUGAAAGGCUUGGGGGAAAGGUUUUUUUUUUGGAGCAGGAGUCAGUGGAGGGAUUUGAAAUGGAGUGAAGGAAUAUGGUGAUACUAGGCAAGGAUUUGAGGGAACAUCAAUAGGGUGUUGGCUAGCAUCUGAAGGGGAAUCUGUGGAAGUCUGAUAAGACUGUUUUGGAGUAAGUGCUGGCUGGGUACAGUGCCUAUAAUCCCAGCCACUCAUGAGUCUGAGGCCGGAGGAAUGCUUGAGUCCAGAGUUUGAGACCAGCCUGAGCAACACAGAGAGAGCUCAUCUGGAAAAAAAAAAAAAAAAAGAGAGAGAGAAUAUUUUUUGGGUAAAGUUUCCAGAGAUUAUUAUCAGAAGAGGAUUCACAAUAAUAUUGUGAGAUGUUCAGUAAAGUCUGGGAAGUAUUGUUGAGCCAGAGGGGGGAUGUUGGGUUAUCAGAAAGGGGUUAACAAUGUUUUGGGCCAUUCAGCAAGAUUCGGGGUUUCUACAGGGGCAUCAGAGGGAGGUAUUAGGAAAAUGUAGGGAUCAAGGGGUUGGGAAAAUAUUUGAGCAUCAGAGGUGUGUUCAGUAAAAUUGGGCGUAGCUGGGUGUGGGGGUUCAUGCCUGUAAUCCCAGCACUUUGGGAGGCUGAGGCAGGAGGAUCACUUGAGACUGGGAGGUUGAUUCCGUAGUGAGCCCUGAUCACACCACUGCACUCCAGCCUGGGUGACAGAGUAAGACUGUUUCAAAAAACAAAACAAGUAAAACUGGGGAGUCGUAUCAGUGUUGAUCAGAGUUCAGGGUUACACUUAGGGUUGGGAAAUGAGGUUUGUGAGAAGACACUAGGGUAUGCAUGGGGGCUGGUGAUGGACGAGACGUCACAGGCAUGUCUGGGUUGGGGUAUCUGACCCUGCUUUCCUUCUGCCCCUCAGACAACCUUGGAGUGUACACUGAAGCCAGGCUUGGUUUACAACAAGGUGAAUCCCAUCUUUCACCACUGGAGCCUGGGUGACUGCAAGUUUGGACUGACGUUUCAGAGCCCUGCAGAGGCUGAUGAGUUCCAGAAGAGCCUGCUGGCUGCGCUGGCCGCACUGGGUCGAGGCUCACUCACCCCCUCCUCCUCCUCCUCCUCCUCCUCUCCUUCCCAGGAUACUGCAGAGACCCCCUGCCCUCUGACGGUACUCUUAGGAUCCCCGUUUUACAGAGGAGGAAACUGAGGCUCAAAGAGGUGAGCUCACUUGCCGGAGGUCACACAACCAGUCAGUGACAGAGCCGGGGUUUGAACCCAGGCCUUCCUGGCCGCAGAGCCCUCGCUCUCAAUGGGAGGGGGUCUAUGUGAGGGCAUCGGCUGUGCGGGGGCGUGUCCCCGCGCUGAGGCCGCCAAUCUCCUCCAGUCCCACGUGGACAGCGACUCCUCCUCCAGUCACAGCCGCCAGGAGACUCCUCCCAGCGCCGCUGCGGCCCCCAUCAUCACGAUGGAGUCAGCUUCAGGCUUCGGGCCGACCACGCCCCCCC
rnacentral:lncRNA from 10 species